rnacentral:tRNA from 1 species
GAGGGUAUAGCUCAGUGGUAGAGUGCGUGCUUAGCAUGCAGAAGGUCCUGGGUUCAAUCCCCAGUACCUCCA